AUUAUUGUGGCCUAGUGGUUAGAGCGUCCGCCUCAGAAGCGGGAGGUCAUGGGUUCCUUCCCCGCCCAAGUCAUACCAAAUA